GCCAGCAGCUAGCUCUCUGCAACUCUCACAUGGUCGCCCACUGAAGCUAAGCAGGGCUGCGCCCGGUCAGUACCUGGAUGGGAGACCACAUGGGAAAGCUAGGUUGUUGCCGGAA
rnacentral:rRNA from 1 species